rnacentral:rRNA from 1 species
GACGAACGCUGGCGGCGUGCCUAAUACAUGCAAGUAGAACGCUGAAGAGAGGAGCUUGCUCUUCUUGGAUGAGUUGCGAACGGGUGAGUAACGCGUAGGUAACCUGCCUUGUAGCGGGGGAUAACUAUUGGAAACGAUAGCUAAUAUCGCAUAACAAUGGAUGACACAUGUCAUUUAUUUGAAAGGGGCAAUUGCUGCACUACAAGAUGGACAUGCGUUGUAUUAGCUAGUAGGUGAGGAAAUGGCUCACCUAGGCGACGAUACAUAGCCGACCUGAGAGGGUGAUCGGCCACACUGGGACUUAGACACGGCCCAGACUCCUUCGGGAGGCAGCAGUAGGGAAUCUUCGGCAAUGGGGGCAACCCUUACCGAGCAACGCCGCGUGAGUGAAGAAGGUUUUCGGAUCGUAAAGCUCUGUUGUAAGUCAAGAACGGGUGUGAGAGUGGAAAGUUCACACUGUGACGGUAGCUUACCAGAAAGCGACGGCUAACUACGUG